rnacentral:rRNA from 1 species
UACGGGGGGGGGCAAGCGUUGUUCGGAAUUACUGGGCGUAAAGGGCUCGUAGGUGGCCAACUAAGUCAGACGUGAAAUCCCUCGGCUUAACCGGGGAACUGCAUCUGAUACUGGAUGGCUUGAGUUUGGGAGAGGGAUGCGGAAUUCCAGGUGUAGCGGUGAAAUGCGUAGAUAUCUGGAGGAACACCGGUGGCGAAGGCGGCAUCCUGGACCGGCAUUGACGCUGAGGAGCGAAAGCCAGGGGAGCAAACGGG